GCAGAGCCCCUAAGAGGAAGACGUGCCUUCCAAGUGUUACAAAGAAUAAAAAUAAAUUUUCAUGAAAAAGAACAUUGUGUUAUUUGUUUAAUAACCUAAAUUCUGUAUUAUAAAUUGGUUACGGCUUCUUCUGCUAAUAUUGGAUAUCUCAGAAGGUGUCAAGACCUCAUCCAUAGCUCCACUGUUGUAUAUUUUCCAACAACGAAUCGAAUGGAAUGCACAAGAAGAACAAAAGAUGUUAUCUCUCUACAUAAUUUGAAGGUGUCGUAGUUGAAAUUCUUCGUUUUUGAAGAAGCAUGAUUUUAAACUGAUAAUUCAAAAGAAUGCUUAUGACGCCUGUCAGAUUGUUGCUCGUAGCCACGAAAUCUUAAUGAAUUGAGGAAGAAUUUAGAAGCUGAUUCUGAGGCUGAGUCAUAAGGUUACUGCUGCAUAUUUGUUGAAGGAUCGAAACGGUUCUACGAAGCGAGAAGUCGUAUUUAUCGAGCUUCUUUUAUUAAUAUACACUUAAAAAAUGGCUUCCAACAAGUAUAAAAAGCAAAGUACAGCUUGCUUCCAUUUUAUCGGUACGUUUGAUAAUGAAGGCCUCAAUCAAGUUGAUUGUAAUAAAUACCAAUUGCACUGUGAACAGUAACAAAACUUUAGCCCUAAUCGCUCACACUUCGCUUGAAUCACACAACAAAAAUUCAUGACUCUUCAAUUGAUGUAGGUAUUAACACUGUGUGGUGACAUUGUGGAAGGCAAUAGGAAAAAUAUAUGUAACGAAUUAUAAUGCACUCAAAUCAUAUUUAUUAUGUAAUUCAAGGUUACAUCGACCUACAACUAAAUACUAUGUUUCUUAAGUACUAAGAAAAAUGUUUAACAUUUAUGUACGUCAAGCGAUAACUGAAAACUUUCCUCUAACAAUUUUUUAGUCAAACGGUUUGCGUUUUUAAUUUUUUUUUGACCAAACCAAAGACUCAGUUCUCAAAGGUGUUUGAC